GGAGACGUGGCCGAGUGGCUAAAGGCGCUGGUUUGCUAAACCAGUAUAGUGGCUAAACCGCUAUCAAGGGUUCGAAUCCCUUCGUCUCCG
rnacentral:tRNA from 1 species